UCUCUCUCUCUCUCUCUCUCUCUCUCUCUCUCUUGAAAAUAACCAAAAUAUUAUAUCAAAUCUCGUAAAAACUCGUUCCAUAUUUUUUAGCGUGUUUUUUUUAUUUUUUCUUGUCUUUUUUGUAAAUUUGCAAUAUAUCAAAAUUGAAUUUUUAGUUGAUUAACUGACAUUGUAAAUCUAAGUUGGAAUUUUAUUUUCUAUCUAAUUAAUAAAAAUAACCUUCCCCCCUACACACGACACAAAUACACAUAUAUACACCUAUUUUCUUAUCUCCAUUCUUUUGAAUCAAUUCCUAACUGAUUAGCAAUUUUUCGGCACUUUUUAAAUUUUAUCCCUUUUUCCUUUUUGUCUCUAAAAUAAUAUUGACUUUUCAGUUCCACAACAUAUCAUACAGUAAUGGCAAACGUGGCUAGUAUCCAUCAAUGCAAUUAUUGUAAUCAUAGGCCAGGUCUUUAAUAAAGUCUCACUUUAAAUUAUAUCUUCCAACCUUUUUAGAAUUUUGGGAUUUAUAUUUUGACUUUAAUGAUAAACAAUGAUAAAGUAAAAUAAGGAAAAUCCUCACAAUGCCAUGCGGAACUGUCUCAAAAUCUGAUCUUCUCUUUAUUAAGUACCUUUGCUAGGAAUGGCCUCCUCUUAAUGAAGGACUCGUGGUAUCCACAUUUUUCCUUUCUUUUAAAAGUUUUUGUGGUCCUCUUUCUUAAACCUGUGGUGUGGAGCUCUUAGCGUUGUAGGCUUUUAGCCCUUUGAUUGCUGGUGUCUAAAGCUGGGGUUAAAGCCUGGCACUGACCUUCCAAACCUAGUAUUAUUAUAUGCAUGCUUCCCUUAUAUAAAAGGAUACUGUUCUUUAGAGGGGGCGUAUUGUACACUUAAUCCCUAGGGUAAAAUACCUACUUGGAUGAUGUUUUCACUUUGAAAUUUUGGGAUCGAUCUAAAAAUCACUAGAUAAUUAUUCUAAAAAAAAAAAAAAAAGAUUUUGUGUUCUUCACUACUUAGAUCUCACCAGCCAAAAGUCGGACAAUCUUUGUUCAAUGGAUAUUAUUUUUGUCAAACACACACAAUGAGAACUGAUUUGUUUUUUUUUUUUAAAGGUUGGCGUCUAGGUUGAACACACUAUAUGCUCAAAAUUUGGAGUCGUAAAAAUAUUCUGACAUUAAUUUUUACCACAGGGAG
rnacentral:lncRNA from 1 species